GGUGACCUAAACCCUCACCAGAGUAACAAUUGGAGGGCAAGUCUGGUGCCAGCAGCCGCGGUAAUUCCAGCUCCAAUAGCGUAUAUUAAACUUGUUGCAGUUAAAAAGCUCGUAGUUGAACUUCUGCUGCCCGGCAUUCGGCCCGCUUCGGCGGGUGUCGCUUGCCUGGUGGCUUUUUCCUGGUGGGCGCGGGCCUCCGCCCGUGUUUUCCGGGGGUUUACUUUGAGAAAAUUAGAGUGUUUCAAGCAGACUUUUGUCUUGAAUACUUCAGCAU
rnacentral:rRNA from 1 species